rnacentral:lncRNA from 1 species
GUGAAAACAUACCUAAAAAUUAACCUAGAGACUUGGUGCUUUUUAUAUUUUAUAGAUAUACACUUUUACUUUAUGUAAACAAUUGUUAAAGAUAAAACUAAGGUUCAAUUAUAACAGUAUAAAGACUUUGUCAUAAAUUCUUUAAAAAGAAAAUAUUAAUAGCAUAACAUAAAUUUUAUAUACUUAUUGGAUGAUAGAAAGUGGGCAACAAAUAUUCCUACCUGACCUACAACCAUUAUCAGCUGGGUUAUGUUAUACUAAUUCUCAAAUCUGAUGUUGAAAUUUUCCUUCAUUUUAGUAUCAUCUUGAAAAUUAACUGAGUUUUACUAGCACAUAGUCAUAGUAAGUAUAAUGCAUCCUUUGGGCUUUGAUUGCAUUGGCCAAUCUGAGAAGAGCAUUAGAACAAAGCAAAGAAAAUCAUGCUAUAAGGACAGAAAAACUAGAAAAAUGAAAAUCUUUUCUCAGCCCCAGACCUUAUAUCUUUGCUUAUGGCGUAAAUCCUUAAUUUUUAUUAUAUGUAAAAAAGUACAGAAUAUUUUGUUGCUCCCGAAUGGCCAGUGUGUUAAAAGCCAGGGUUUUUUUUCUUCUUACAAUGUUAUACCAAAAUUAGAAUGCAUAGUAUUAGAAUAGAGAGCAAUGUAUAUUCUAAACACAGGCUCAUUUAGGGGAGAAUGUAAACUUUAUGCAAACAGUUCUUCUCAGUUUUGUAGGAAAGAUUUUUUAAAAACCUUAUACUCUACCUGAAAAUAAAAAGAAAUUAAUAACCAGUCUAGAUUAUAAAAAGGGGGGGGACCAAAAAUUUUCAUUUAUUUCAAUAUGCCCAGAAGAAAAUAUGAAACAUUUCUACACUACUUCUCCUGCAAACUUUCCUCCUAUUUUAAAAGAAAAAUCAAAAGGAAUAUGCCAUGGACUCUCUUCACAUAUGAUACUGGAUCUAAUGGAAGAGAACACGCCAAGACACAGCACAUUAAAAAAAAAAAGUAAGCUGUCCACAAGAACUGUUUGGUUCUUGACUGAAAAAUAUCAACCCCACCCAAGACUGAGCAAUAUCUUUCUGAGUUGAUGUGCAUCCUGCUUUGCCAACAUCUUGAUUAUGUCUGAUGUCCCACAAUAAAUAUUAACAAUGCCUCCUUUCACUCCUAAAUGCC